AGAUUUUGAUGAUGAUCCACUUUCUUACCUACAUUGUAUGAAAGAAAGAUGAUUGAAUUUGAUUGGCUGAAAAAUCU